rnacentral:rRNA from 1 species
GACGAACGCUGGCGGCAUGCCUAACACAUGCAAGUCGAACGAGAUCUUCGGGUCUAGUGGCGCACGGGUGCGUAACGCGUGGGAAUCUGCCCUUUGGUUCGGAAUAACAGUUGGAAACGACUGCUAAUACCGGAUGAUGACGAAAGUCCAAAGAUUUAUCGCCAGAGGAUGAGCCCGCGUAGGAUUAGCUAGUUGGUGUGGUAAAGGCGCACCAAGGCGACGAUCCUUAGCUGGUCUGAGAGGAGGAUCAGCCACACUGGGACUGGGACACGGCCCAGACUCCUACGGGAGGCAGCAGUGGGGAAUAUUGGACAAUGGGCGAAAGCCUGAUCCAGCAAUGCCGCGUGAGUGAUGAAGGCCUUAGGGUUGUAAAGCUCUUUUACCCGGGAUGAUAAUGACAGUACCGGGAGAAUAAGCUCCGGCUAACUCCGUGCCAGCCGCCGCGGUAA